rnacentral:rRNA from 1 species
AUUGAACGCUGGCGGCAGGCCUAACACAUGCAAGUCGAACGAGUGGCGGACGGGUGAGCAAUGUCUGGGAAACUGCCUGACGGAGGGGGAUAACUAGUGGAAACGGUAGCUAAUACCGCAUACCAUCGGAUGUGCCCAGAUGGGAUGAGGUAGUAGGUGGGGGAAAGGCUCACCUAGGCGACGAUCCCUAGCUGGUCUGAGAGGAUGACCAGCCACACUGGAACUGAGACACGGCCCAGACUCCUACGGGAGGCAGCAGUGGGGAAUCUUGCCCAAUGGGCGCAAGCCUGAUGCAGCCAUGCCGCGUGUAUGAAGAAGGCCUUCGGGUUGUAAAGUACUUUCAGCGGGGAGGCGUUACCCGCAGAAGAAGCACCGGCUAACUCCGUGCCAGCAGCCGCGGUAAUUC